rnacentral:lncRNA from 1 species
CCCCAUCGCAGCUUGCAUUGGCAUGGGUUCAUCACCAAGGGAAUGAUGUCUGUCCCAUUCCUGGAACCACCAAAACUGAAAACUUCAACCAGAACAUUGGAGCUUUGUCCGUAAAAUUAACACCUGAAGAGAUGACUGAGCUAGAAUCUAUUGCUUCAGCAGAUGCUGUGAAGGGAGACAGAUACGGUGGAACUAUCGCUACGUACCAUGAAUCUGAAACUCCUCCCUUGUCUUCAUGGAAACCUGAAUGAUGAGGGCAAGCUACCAAAUUGUCUCUACUUUGUUUUCAGAGAAUAAGUGUUGUAUCAGAAGUAUCCAUAGGUCUUCUGAUGAGAGAUUGCAAACUUGGUAGUAGCUAUCCAGGUUUGUCAUGUUGAGAUUGUGUAUUCCAUGGUAAUGAAGCAAAAGGUUCUGAAAUAAGCUAUCAAUGCAUGAUUUCAGAUUUCCAACAUUAGGUUUUUGUGCACUGCAUGAUUCCUUUGACAAACGAAAAAAAAAAAGGCAAAAUCUUGCUCCAAUAUUUCAAUGAUUUAACUAUACUCUCAUGCUUUCUUCUCUUUUAAAUUCGUUUGACUUCCUAGUUCCUAUCAUCAAAAGUCUGCUCAAACAUUGGGAAAAUUUGAAAGCUGGUAUGGGCCAACUGAGAAUGAAGACAUUAAGUUGAUGAAGAAAUCUACCCAGCCUUGAAUCAGAGAAGAGUAAAGGAAGAAGAAGAAAAGAGAAAGUAUAGAGAGAAAUAUUGUAUUAUGUUGUAUGAAUUUUCAGAAUGCCUACAACCAUCGUCUCCUCCCUUCUAAAAACCUUGAACAGACCAUGACAUCAGCAAUAUGACAUCAGCUUUUUAACUAAUCUAGUUGUGAUAUAACUAAUCCGGACAUACACUGAUUUUAACUAAUAUUUGAAAUAAUCCUAAUUAUUGGACUGGACUCAACUACUGACCUUACACUUCAUAGGCCCAUCUAUAUACUUUGGCCCGUAACAAUACAACCCCCCUGGAAAGGAUCAAAGGAAGGGAAUUUCUGUUGUAGAUCAGAUAAGACUUUCCAAGAAGCAGCUUCUAGAUGUAAUUAAUCCAUAACACCAGUACUAUAGUGACCAGUCUGCUUCUCAUUUUGUUCAUAAGUCUGUCCAAAAUUGCCACCGGUUCCUUCGCUAUGGCACCAACAACAUCUAAAUAAGGCAAUUGUGACUGCACCGGCUCUUUUCCCACAUGUUUCUUGAUUUGUAACUCAUGCAAGAUUGGUUGAAUGCAAGCAUUUGCUGGAAAUCCUAGCUUGUAAAUCACAAGUCUAGCUUACACCUUGAAUUGGACGAGGAACUUUGCAGAAAAAAAUUGGACAAUCUCAGAUGCAACACGAACGGUCCUUAGAGCGGAAUUUUACACAUGCAGGAAACAUGUUUCUUAGUGCAACACCCUGAAAUAAUAUCAAAUUUUGAUUUGAAGCAUUUUUGCAAAAAAUCAACUUCGAAAAAAAUUAAAUUAUAAAAAUACGCUUAAAAGAUAUUUUGAUAAUUUUACACCUUUAAAAGUGCAAUCAAGGUUUUUAAUAUAUCAAAAAUCAUGAAAUAAUAUCAAAACAUGAUUUGAAGUUUUUUACGAAAUACCAACCUCGAAAAAUCAAAUUAUGAAAAUACUUUUAAAGGUUAUUUUGGUAGUUUCACACUUUUUAAGAUGCGAUAAGGGUUUUAAUAUAUCAAAAAUCAUGAAAUAAUAUCAAAAUAUGAUCUAAAACUUUUUAUAAAAAUACUCUUAAAGGAUAUUUUGAUAAUUUCAUACUUUAUGAGUUGCGAUUAAAGUUUUUAACGUAAAAAAUUAUUAAAUAAUACCAAAACAUGAUCUAAAAAAGAUCAAAUUAUAAAAAUACCUCUAAAAAAUAUUUUGAUAAUUUCACACAUUUCGAGUUAUAACCAUGACUUUUAGUGCAUCAAAAUCAUAAAUUAUUAAUCUCAAAUUUUAAAAAUCCUAUUUGGUUAUGAGUUCCAAGGAUUAACUCUAAUUUGAUCGAGUUUGACUAUUAUUGACUGGAUUUGAUUAAAGGAUAUUCAAGUCAAUUUGAUCCAUAAUUUAGUUUUGAUAAUUUAUCAAUAUUAAAGAAAUAUUAGAUUUAAAUAAUUUGAAUUUUAAACGCUUCAUAUUUGGCUAGAAUUUGCUCAAAAAAAAUUAAAUAUUAACAACCAAUAAAUGGACUAAUGAUAUUAGUCUAAUGUUUUAAAGUGAUAAUAGAAUGAAAGUUUGAGUGUCAAAUUAAUAAUUUUAUUUUUUUUGAUAUCAAAUUGAUAGAAAAAUAUAUAAUUAAAUAAUUUUUUAUAUUUACUCAUAAAAAAUAAACAAUAACAAUUAAAUAAGGAUUAAAAAAGAAAAGAAAUGAUACAUAGGAGGGUACCUCAGUUUUUUCCUUGCUUUUUUACUUUUAACGCUCUUUGUUAAUCUUUACUCUUUACCAACUUUGACCAACACUUCAUCAAUCAUUGUCCCAUCAAUUUUUAUUUUUUUUAUUUUUUUCACAUGCAAAAGACAAUAAAUUAAAACAAAUAAAAAAAAUUAAAAAUAAAAAAAAAUAAAAAAAUGCCAAAAAAAAAAAAAAAGUGAGUGCCAUUAGACACUCCCAAUGCACUUCGUUCUUUACAAAUUUUAUAUUAUGAAUUUUUAAGAUUUCAAUUUUGAAAGAAAUUUUCAACAUAACUUUAUAAAACCAAUGUGUUAGGUUUUGGCCAAAAGAAAAAUCCAAUGUUAGAUGCAAUCCUAAUAUCCUUUUAAUGGUAUUUGUUGCUUCUAAAUAUUUUAUUAUAAAAUUCAUUUAAGCAUCACUUGUUAUUUUAUAGUUAUAAAAAUAAUUAUUUUUUUCAUUUAACAUAAAUGAUGGGUGUAAUAAGAAAUUAAUAAUGUUCAAGAAAUUAUAAUUUCUAUUAAUCAUAAUUAAUUAGUAAUGUUUUUUAAUUUGAUUUUUCCUUGACAGGUGAACUAAUUAAUUUUGAGAUUAAGUAUAAUUUUAUUUUACAUAAAAAGUCAUAUUAUGGAGAUUGAGAAAAAAAUUGUGUUAAAAUUUGAAUUUUAAUUUUUUGUCAAUAAUUUAGACUUAUUAAAUUUUACUUUCUAAAUAUAAAUAUAUAAAUUAGUCGAACUAAAUCUCGGAUUCAAAUUUAGUGCAAUGUUAAUGACCUCUCUAUUAAUAUUUGGUGUUCUUUUGAUAAACAAAUAUUUAUUUUACCAUAAUUUUUACUUUUUAAGAAAAGAGAAAAAAAUGGUGAUGUUGAGUUGUUGACAUCUUAUGUAAAAGCUUUUUACAUAAUUUACUUACGUAGGAAAGAAAUUUUCAAAAACUUUUUAUAACAUUCAUAAAUUACUUAAGUUUUCUUAUAAAAUUCAUAAAUGUAGCAAAGAAUUUAAUGUUGGAAAUAUUGACUCAAAUCCCAUAAGAGAUUUGUUUGAGAUUUAUCUGAGAUUUGUCAAAUAUUGCUUGAUGAACAAAAAGACUUACAAAAGAAGAAUUCUAAGAGAAAGGGUUUGACUUGCAAGAUAAAAAUUCUAAAAGGAAAGGGAUUUUUAAUAGGCAAAUUUGACUUACAGGAGAAAAAUUCUAAGAAGAGAGGGAUUCUUAAUGGGCAAGUUUGUAUGGUUAUAAAUAGAUAAAGUUUUUACAAGAUUAGGUAUGAGAAAAAGAUGUAAGAGAGUUGUAGAGUUUUAUGGGAUAGACACCCCAUAGGAAUAUUGGAGCUCUGUGUGUAUGUUUAUUUGUGAGUAGACUAGAGGAGACUGAGAGGGUCCACAUAGGUAUGAUGUAUGAGAGCAUAUAGGUAUGUGUUUGGAUAUGUUGAAAGGGUGCAUAAGGGUUUGAGUUUGUGUUUGUUUGGGUUGAAAAUACUUCGUAGGACUAGAGGAGAUUGAAAGUGUCUUAUGAGUAUUGAUUGUUGAGUGAGGUUGAUGAUAUGAUGUAUGUUUGUAAUUCUCUACAACUAAUGGAGCUUGUUUUUCACCCGUGGAUGUAGGUUAGUUGGACCGAACCACGUUAAAUUAUUGUCUCUUGUAUGUUUGAUUUAUUGUUUGAUUUUAUUUCCGCUAAUGUGAUUGGAUUGAAAGCUUUUAGUCCAACAUUUAAAAAAAAAAAAACUUUAAAUACUAAGUUGUAAGGUCUUAUUUGACUUUGUUUAUAAUUUUCUUGAAUAUUACAAUAAUAUACGCAAUCAUUAAUCUGUAUAACAUAUGCCCUUACGUCAUGCCCUUACCUUCCCCAGCCACUACUUAACAGUGCUGAAACCUCCAUCCUCAACACCACAAAUCCGGAUAGCUAAUCGCUUCACACUCAACCAUCAGUGAAACAUGGCAACUGAAAAAGUUGGGAGGAUCAAGUUGUGUUCUCAGGGCCUGGAAGUGUCAGCUCAAGGCCUUGGAUGCAUGGGGAUGUCAGCUUUCUAUGGUCCUCCAAAGCCUGAAGCUGACAUGAUUGCUCUAAUCCACCAUGCUAUCAACUCCGGGGUUACCUUUCUUGAUACUUCUGAUGUUUAUGGUCCCCAUACCAAUGAAAUCCUUAUUGGUAAGGCCUUGAAAGAUUGUUAAGAGACAGGGUUGAAUUGGCUACUAAGUUUGGUAUAGACUAUACUGAUGGCAAGAGGAAAUCCGUGGUGACCCUGCUUAUGUCAGAGCGGCCUGUGAAGGUAGCUUGAAGCGUCUUGGUGUUGAUUGUAUCGAUCUUUAUUACCAGCAUCGGGAUUGAUACCAGGGUUCCCAUUGAAGUCACGGUUUGUUUUUUGUUUUGACUUUUGUCCCCUUGCUUUUUUCUUCUUAUUCUUUUAUUGAUUGUUGCUUUUUUUUUUUUUCACCCAGAUGGAGAACUUAAGAAACUAGUUGAAGAAGGUAAAGUAAAGUAUAUAGGUUUAUCUGAGGCUUCUGCUUCGACAAUUAGAAGGGCACAUGCUGUUCAUCCAAUUACUGCUGUACAAUUGGAGUGGUCCUUGUGGUCUAGAGAUGUUGAGGCAGACAUCAUUCCUACUUGCAGGUUAUUUAUCCAUAAGACCAACAAAUUUCUUUUUUUUUUGAAAUUUUCUGAUUUGGAAUUCUUAUUUGAUGUGAUUCCUUUUAAUUUCUUAGGGAACUUGGGAUUGGGAUUGUUGCUUACAGCCCUCUGGGGAGAGGAUUCUUUUCAUCAGGGCCUAAAAUAGUGGAAACUUUGUCCAAUGAUGACUUCAGAAAGGUUUGUAGCUACUUUUCACAUUUGGAUACUUGUUCAUAAGCCAUGAUUAUCUGUUGUUUUAGGCAUAUUAAAUUUAAUGGUAUUAGCCAACAGCUGGGUGCCUAUUGGUAGGGUGCUUACUCUUAGUUCCAGUAGCCGUGUGCCUGAUGGUCUAAAAUAUUCAAAAAAAAUUAGGGUAUUCUAGAUUUUCAACUCUAGCCUAAGUCAGCAUCGGAGGUUGCUGACAAGACAAGAGUAUUUACAUAUGAGAGCCAAAUAAUUUUUAUGCUUAAGUUGUUCUGCAACAUUUUCCUCUUUGUUAGCUUACUCUGUAAUGAAAACAACCCAAUUUUAGUCUCUUAAGUGCCUCAAUGCUAGCAAUCUUGUUCUUUCCAAUUUAGUGGGAGUAUCAUGUGAAUUGGGUGUUUACUGUCCAAGUGUAUAUUAUCCAACUGUGCAGUACAGUAAGGGUGGACUAGUUAAGAAUUGAAGUUUGAAAAUGUUCAUAAUCUUUUUCCCUAUUGUGUCAUAUCCACUACCAUUAUAUAGUGAAGUCAUAUGCAUCACGCAACUUUCAAGUGAAAUAGUAUGCAGGCAUGUUAAGCUUCAAAUCACCUUUAAUAACAGAGGGCUGACUAUACCUUUAUGUCCUUCCCUUGAGUUUUGCUAGACUGCAAGUGUCUCUUGUGAGCCAUUGAUUAAUAUCCUUUACUUCUCACUUAGCAGCGGUUUACAAUCAUCUAAUGCAUCUUUUAAUGAAAAACUUCAGGGAAGUUUGUAGUGGAGAUUUGUUUACUUCAGUUGAGAUCAGAGUCACAGAUGAGACAUCUGUUACUUGUAUUUGAGAAUUCUGUAUCAAAUGAACCAAGUGAUGUAUAAAUUAGGUAACGAGCAUUAGUCCUAUCUUUUUUUAGUACAAAGGAGGCCGCAGCCUGGGGAUAGGGAAAGAGGUUGCAGACACUGGAAUUUGAAUCCUAAACCUGCUGGAUGUUACUCUUAAGGGCAGUUGCAUGAACCAACUUAACUAAGCUCCAGGUUACAUUAGUCUUAAUUUUAACAAUUGAAGUUAAUGACUGAACUCUGGAGUACAUGAAUAUACUUUUAAGGAGCUGCAUGGUUAAUUGUUUGUUACAAAAUUAGUACCCCAUUUAAAUCUUUCUGAAAUAGGCAUUUAGUCUUCUAUUUAAAUCAAAUCUGAGGAUAUGAGAUCUUUUCUGUAUUUGGGCAAUUAAAUGAGGUCCAUUUUGACAACCAUUGAUGGCAUGAAUUGUCAAACACUUUUUGAAAUGCCUUGAAUCCUAAAUCUGUAUUAUUUGCAGAAAGUAAUGGUCUGCUGCAGAUCAUCUUUAUUUUUCAUGACAAUCAUGUGAAUGGAUUUUCAAUUGUCACAGUAUCUACCGAGGUUCCAACCUGAAAAUCUUGAGCACAACAGACGUCUUUAUGAGCGAGUUAAUGAGAUAGCAGCAAAGAAGGGGUGCACCCCAUCACAGCUUGCAUUGGCAUGGGUUCAUCACCAAGGGAAUGAUGUCUGUCCCAUUCCUGGAACCACCAAAACUGAAAACUUCAACCAGAACAUUGGAGCUUUGUCCGUAAAAUUAACACCUGAAGAGAUGACUGAGCUAGAAUCUAUUGCUUCAGCAGAUGCUGUGAAGGGAGACAGAUACGGUGGAACCAUCGCUACGUACCAUGAAUCUGAAACUCCUCCCUUGUCUUCAUGGAAACCUGAAUGAUGAGGGCAAGCUACCAAAUUGUCUCUACUUUGUUUUCAGAGAAUAAGUGUUGUAUCAGAAGUAUCCAUAGGUCUUCUGAUGAGAGAUUGCAAACUUGGUAGUAGCUAUCCAGGUUUGUCAUGUUGAGAUUGUGUAUUCCAUGGUAAUGAAGCAAAAGGUUCUGAAAUAAGCUAUCAAUGCAUGAUUUCAGAUUUCCAACGUUAGGUUUUUGUGCACUGCAUGAUUCCUUUGACAAACGAAAAAAAAAAAAGGCAAAAUCUUGCUCCAAUAUUUCAAUGAUUUAACUAUACUCUCAUGCUUUCUUCUCUUUUAAAUUCGUUUGACUUCCUAGUUCCUAUCAUCAAAAGUCUGCUUAAAACAUUGGGAAAAUUUGAAAGCUGGUAUGGGCCAACUGAGAAUGAAGACAUUAAGUUGAUAAAGAAAUCUACCCAGCCUUGAAUCAGAGAAGAGUAAAGGAAGAAGAAGAAAAGAGAAAGUAUAGAGAGAAAUAUUGUAUUAUGUUGUAUGAAUUUUCAGAAUGCCUACAACCAUCGUCUCCUCCCUUCUAAAAACCUUUAACAGACCAUGACAUCAGCAAUAUGACAUCAGCCUUUUAACUAAUCUAGUUGUGAUAUAACUAAUCCGCACAUUCACUGAUUUUAACUAAUAUUUGAAAUAAUCCUAAUUAUUGGACUGGACUCAACUACUGACCUUACACUUCAUAGGCCCAUCUAUAUACUUUGGCCCGUAACAAUACAACCCCCCUGGAAAGGAUCAAAGGAAGGGAAUUUCUGUUGUAGAUCAGAUAAGACUUUCCAAGAAGCAGCUUCUAGAUGUAAUUAAUCCAUAACACCAGUACUGUAGUGACCAGUCUGCUUCUCAUUUUGUUCAUAAGUCUGUCCAAAAUUGCCACCGGUUCCUUCGCUAUGGCAUCAACAACAUCUAAAUAAGGCAAUUGUGACAUGCACUGGCUCUUUUCCCACAUGUUUCUUGAUUUGUAACUCAUGCAAGAUUGGUUGAAUGCAAGCAUUUGCUGGAAAUCCUAGCUUGUAAAUCACAAGUCUAGCUUAUUCUAACACCUUGAAUUGGACGAGGAACUUUGCAGAAAAAAAUUGGACAAUCUCAGAUGCAUCACGAACGGUGCUUAGAAUGGAAUUUACACAUGCAGGAAACAUGUUUCUUAGUGCAACACCCUGAAGCAUUUGGCUGAAUUGAAAUGUAUUUGAGAAUGGUCCAAACGGGUGGGAACUCGCAGCCCAGAACCAAUUUAUGACAGGUAUUUCAUGAAUAUGAGAAGUCUUUUUAUAUGGCGCACUUAACAUACCCAUAACAGAAGCAAGCCUUACUAGAAUGUGGCUCUGUGCCUGUAUUGGAAUAACAUAUCUUCUCUCCGUUUCAGAAACAUAACUCAUAGGUAUUUCUUGACUUCGGUGCUCAAAUAAGAUGACAACAUCAUUGCAGGUCCAAACAAGGCUUUCAUCCUCCACCAUAAACCGUGGAUCCACAUCAGCCGCAUUCAAAACAAACAUCUUUAUAUAAUCUGAAUGAAAUGACUGACUUCUAAACAUGUCAUAGAUACGAACGGAAGUGCUGACAGUAACAUUUACACAACUUUGAAGAAUCUGCUGUCCUUGUGGACAUUUGUCCCACCAACACAAGCAUAAACCUUACCUCCAAGGUAAUCACCAUAGUCAAGUUGGUGUAAAAUUCUAGAGUAGAAAUUACCGUCUUCACAGUUCCAGAUUGUGCCUGCUGAAUGCAUCCCAAAAUAUUAAAAGCUUGUGAACUUGAACCUUUGAGCCUUCUUGCUAUUACAAGGUCCCUUCUAUUUCCCAAACUCUUCAUGCUAGUCAGCAUCUCAAAUAGAACACAAUCACAUGGUACAAGCUCCUUGUGAAGGAUUGCAACUAAUUCAAACUUCUUGCUAUCGAUUACUUCUUUGACAAUAACAAUAUCUAACAUUUGUGAUUCCUCUAAGUCAAGCUGCAUAAAUCCAACCUUUUUACUUCUGCCAUUGUUGUCAAUAAUCUCACCAGAAAAAAUAGUCCAAAGUCGACAAAAGAUUCCCCUAUUGUUCAUCCUCCUUUCCUAAACACUAACUAGCUCCUUAAUUAGUCUCGUCCCAGAUGGGGCUGUGAUUGAACCACAUCUCCAUCAGUAGCACGAAGGAAUGAAUCAAUAAAUCUUGAUAUUGACAAAUCAACAAGUUAUAGUUUUCCCAAGGUUUCUGCACCAAGAAUAAUUGCAUCACUUUCAUCCAAACAGCAUUUGCAACCAGAUAAGCAAGUUCCUUCUGCACAGGAAAACCAGCAACAUAAGGCUUAAAGGGCUUAGCCACCCUUUCGGUGGGAACAUGGGCUAUAUGAGUAGUGCCCACUGCAUCAUUAACAUAAACAUUUGCAAGAGAAACUAGCUUCUUUACGAAUUCAAGAUCCUCAUUCUAUUCCUUUUGUAGAACCUCACAUUCUCAAGGAGCAAGUCACCUACCCUUGAAAGUUCAGUAACCGGUUUCUCAACUUCUACACCAAUGCAAUCAUUUGUCAUUACCAAAAGUCUAAACCUAUCGGGAUCAUAAAGAACAACAAUCCUAUCUUUAAUCACAAACAUCAUUGAAUGACCCUUGUCAAACUUUCCGCAAGCAUCAACAACCCUAAUAGACCUAAACCUAUUCCCAAGAAGCACAUUCUGUAAGAUAAAAACGCCAACAGUUGAAUAUCUAGAAUGUUCUAUAUGCAUUUCACUAGGUAAUUCAGCAGGUUUAGAUUCUUUAAGCACUCUAGAUUCUAGUAUGCCAGAAUGGGGGUUUUUUGAAUGUGGAUUCAAAGAAAAAGGAGUUUCGUGCAUGAAGAAUAUAGGACUAAUUAAAGAAGAGAACGGGGACGGAUCUAGGGAUUUACCAAUUGGGAAAUCAAGUUCCUCUUCAUUUGACAACUUCAUUUCUGGACUUUGGCAGAAACAUUCCUAAACCACCGGCGGUUGUUCUGGUUUACUAAGGUUCACUAAUUCACUGGAUGCAACAAUUUGGUGUGUCUCCGAUGAUUCCAACUCUACCGACUGGUCUAUUGGUGAAUCACAAUCUGUCCUCUUAAACAUGUUGUCGAUCAUCUGAGACAUUCUAGUAACGAAGCUGUCCACCUAGGAAAAAUUUGCAACAAAAUACUUAACUGAGCUCAUUAAUAGAAGCUUGGUUCAAGUAUCAUGGAUUGAUUCUAUUGGCAAUGUUAAAAACUGCGGGCUCCAUGAUUUGAUGCGUGAAGUUAUACUUUCCAAGUCUGAAGAAUUGAAUUUCAUUCAAACAUCUCCAGAAAAUUUGAUCAGUCAUAAUGGUGUAGCUCGAAACCUCUCGGUCUACGGCAAAGCAAACAAUUUCCCAACAAUUAUAGGAAACUAUCAAACUCAUUCAGUUAUUUUCUUUGACGCAGAAGAGUUACCAAAAUCUUUGUUCAUUUUACUGUUCACAAAGUUCAAAUUGUUGAAAGGACUGGACUUUGAAGGAGUUCCAUUGAAGUACAUACCUGAGGAAUUGGGAAAUUUGUUCCAUUUAAAAUAUUUAAGCAUAAGAGAUACAAAUGUAAAAAUGCUCCCAAAAUCUAUUGGUAAAUUGCACAAGCUUCAAACUUUGGAUCUAAAACGUUCUUUGGUACGUGAGUUACAGGUUGAAAUCAACAUGCUCUUUGUUCUUCAAUAUCUUGUAGGUUACUACAAAGAUACACAGAGCAGGUACAGUAUCAAUAGUUGAAGGGAUGAAAUUAUAUGGGAACUUUGGGAGCUUAGAGUCCUUAGAAAAGCUCUAUGAGGUGAACAUUGAGGCAUACAAUGGUGGUAACUUUUGUGGUGAUGCUAUACAGCAGAUGAUUCACCUUCAGUCAUUGAGAAGUUCUUCAAUAAAAGAGGAAGAACUCCUUCAGUCACAUAUUCCUCCACUUUUUCUUCGUUGUCUUAAGCCACGAGGAAAAUUAAUAAAGUUACCUGAUUGGGUAAAUUAAAUACGAAAGAUUAGGAGCGAAUUGAGAUUUUAAAAGUAGAAGAUGGCAAGUGUGGGCUACCGAUACAUUAAGAAUCAACUUAAUGGCAAAUCUGUGAUAGUAAUAAAUCAGUGUAAACUAUCAAUAACUCAAUUAUCAAUAACUCAAUACUAAAUCAGUUAUAAUUUAAUUAUGAAUCAAUGAUAAUAUAAAUUAAUGAUAGUUUAAUAGUAAAUAAUUUAUAACUCAAUAAUAAAUUAAUGAUAAGUAUUAACUUAGUGGUAAAUCAUAGUUUCUUAACUUAGUGGUAAAUCAUCAAUAAUUUUGUACUAAAUCAAUUAUAAUAGUAAAUUAAUAAUAAUUUAGUAGCAAAUUAAUAAUAACUUAAUAGUAAAUUAAUGAUAACUUUAUUGAGUAAAUAUACGAUAGCUUAAUAAAUUAUCGACAACUUAAUAAUAAAUCAUUCAUAACUUAAUAGUAAAUCAAUGUAUAAUUUAGUAAUAAAAUGUUAUUUAUCUAUUUCCGUAUUACCUUGAACUCUUUAGUAAAAUAAAUUGUGUUGUGUGAUGUCCUCUACAACAUUGGUAAUAACUAAACAAAAAAUUAUUGUCCUUAGAAAUGUAUUUAAAAUGAAAGAGAAAUUAGUCUAAAUGUAUUAAAAAUAUAUCAUAAAAAUUAUCUAUAAGUUAUUUUAUUCGGUACAUACUAUUUUAAAAUCAAAAUAUAUGAUGAUGAUGAUAAUAAUAAUAAUAACAAUAACAACAACAACAACAGCAACAACAACAACAACAACAACAACAACAACAAUAAUAAUAAUAAUAAUAAGUCAGGGAUGGGAAAGAAAACAUUAUAUAGUUACUUUAUUUCAAGUAACAAUAAUUUUAUAGUGAUAUGAUUUUAAAUCAAAAUUAAUAAUUUAAAAAUUUAGCACAUAUAUGAAAAGUAAAAGCUUGAAUGAGUUCAGUGAUGAUUAAUUACCUUAUAAAUUCAAAAAAAUAAAGAUAAAAAUUCACCGCUAAUAAAGUAAAAAAAAUUUCAAGAAAAAUUGUAAAGCAUAAGAAAAGAAGUUCAAAAUCUAAUUUGAUUGUGAUAGAAAAUGAUACUCUAGAGCUGAAAACUUAAAAAAUAUAUAUAAGUGAAUGAAGAUGAUGACUUAGCACUAGAAUACUUGAAAAAAACUUUUAAAUAAAAAAUAAAAAAGAUUGAAAAAUCAUAUAUUUAUUUAUAUUAAAACUUCACAUUUUUAAUUUAAUUUAGUAUUACGAUGAUAAUUUCAAUUUUAUUACUACAAAAAAAAACUAAAAUUAUUUAAUUAUAUUAUAAUUACAAUUUAGUUAAAAAUCACAUGCAUAGCACGUGUCAAGAAAACUAGUAUCUAUAAGUGUAAGCAAGAAAUAAGCAAAAUGGAACAAAUUAGUUCAGAAUAAUCAAUUACAAAUCAAAUAUCUCAUAACAAUUGAUGUAGUAAUUCAUAUUUAGCAUAUAUAGAUUAUGUCUAAAAUUUAAAUUUCAACAUAUAUAAUUUGUUUUUUUAUCCUCAAAUUACAAUUUUUUUAAAGCAAAAAUUAAUACUAAAUCUAAAAAAAAAAAACCUAAUACUAAAUGUACUUAUCAUCCCACCCACCCAAUAAAAUAUAACAAAAAUUAGGGUUUCAAAUGGUUAGCUCUUCCAGAUAUGUUUACAAUAAUAAUAAUAAUAUAUAUAUAUAUAUAUAUAUAUACUUAUAUUCAUUUUUGAGAUUUCAAUUUUGAAAGAAAAUUUCAAGAAAGCUAGAUAAAACCAAUGUUAGGUUUUGGCCCUAAGAAAAAUCCAAUGUUAGAUGCAAUCCUGAUGUCUUUUUAGUAGUAUUGGUUGCUUUUGAUAGUUUAUUAUAAAAUUCAUUUAACAUCAAUUGUUAUUUUAUGGUUACAAAAAUAAUUAUGAUUUUUUCAUUUCACAUAAAUGAUGGGUGUGAUAAGAAAUUAAUAGGGUUCAAGAAAUUAUAAUUACUAUUAAUCAUAAUUAAUUAGUAAUGUUUUCUAAUUUGAUUUUUCUUUACUGUUACUAACAAAUCAUUGGUGAACAAAUUAAAUGUGAGAUUAAAAAUAAAUUUUUUAUAAAAAAAUAUCAUAGUUCGAAGAUGAGAAAAAAACUAUAAGUGUUAGAAUUUGAAUUUCAAAUUUUUUAUUAAUAAUUUAAGAUUUAUUAAAUUUUAUUUUUUAAAAAUGAAUAUAUAAAUUAAUUUAACUAAAAUUUAAAUUCAAUUUUAUUGUCCUCUUUAUCCAUAUUUGGCAUUCUUUUGAUAAACAAAUAUUUAUUCUACCAUAAUCUUUAAUUUUUAGGAAAAGAGAAAAAUGGUGAUGUUAAGUUGUUGACAUCAUAAUUUACUUAUGUAAAAUUUUUUUACAUAAUUUACUUAUGUAGCAAAGAAUUUUUCAAAACUUCUUAUAACAUGCAUAAAUUACUUAUGUUUUCUUAUAAAAUUCAUAAAUUAUUUAUGUAGCAAAGAAUUUCUUAAAAACCUCUAAAUACUAAGAUGUAAGGUCUUAUUUGGCUUUCUUUAUAAUUUUCUUGAAUAUUACAANNNNNNNNNNNNNNNNNNNNNNNNNNNNNNNNNNNNNNNNNNNNNNNNNNNNNNNNNNNNNNNNNNNNNNNNNNNNNNNNNNNNNNNNNNNNNNNNNNNNNNNNNNNNNNNNNNNNNNNNNNNNNNNNNNNNNNNNNNNNNNNNNNNNNNNNNNNNNNNNNNNNNNNNNNNNNNNNNNNNNNNNNNNNNNNNNNNNNNNNNNNNNNNNNNNNNNNNNNNNNNNNNNNNNNNNNNNNNNNNNNNNNNNNNNNNNNNNNNNNNNNNNNNNNNNNNNNNNNNNNNNNNNNNNNNNNNNNNNNNNNNNNNNNNNNNNNNNNNNNNNNNNNNNNNNNNNNNNNNNNNNNNNNNNNNNNNNNNNNNNNNNNNNNNNNNNNNNNNNNNNNNNNNNNNNNNNNNNNNNNNNNNNNNNNNNNNNNNNNNNNNNNNNNNNNNNNNNNNNNNNNNNNNNNNNNNNNNNNNNNNNNNNNNNNNNNNNNNNNNNNNNNNNNNNNNNNNNNNNNNNNNNNNNNNNNNNNNNNNNNNNNNNNNNNNNNNNNNNNNNNNNNNNNNNNNNNNNNNNNNNNNNNNNNNNNNNNNNNNNNNNNNNNNNNNNNNNNNNNNNNNNNNNNNNNNNNNNNNNNNNNNNNNNNNNNNNNNNNNNNNNNNNNNNNNNNNNNNNNNNNNNNNNNNNNNNNNNNNNNNNNNNNNNNNNNNNNNNNNNNNNNNNNNNNNNNNNNNNNNNNNNNNNNNNNNNNNNNNNNNNNNNNNNNNNNNNNNNNNNNNNNNNNNNNNNNNNNNNNNNNNNNNNNNNNNNNNNNNNNNNNNNNNNNNNNNNNNNNNNNNNNNNNNNNNNNNNNNNNNNNNNNNNNNNNNNNNNNNNNNNNNNNNNNNNNNNNNNNNNNNNNNNNNNNNNNNNNNNNNNNNNNNNNNNNNNNNNNNNNNNNNNNNNNNNNNNNNNNNNNNNNNNNNNNNNNNNNNNNNNNNNNNNNNNNNNNNNNNNNNNNNNNNNNNNNNNNNNNNNUUCAAUGGAACUCCUUCAAAGUCCAGUCCUUUCAACAAUUUGAACUUUGUGAACAGCAAAAUGAACAAAGAUUUUGGUAACUCUUCUGUGGCAAAGAAAAUAACUGAAUGAGUUUGAUAGUUUCCUAUAAUUGUUGGGAAAUUGUUUGCUUUACCGUAGACCGAGAGGUUUCGAGCUACACCGUUAUGACUGAUCAGAUUUUCUGGAGAUGUUUGAAUGAAAUUCAAUUCUUCAGGUUUGGAAAGUAUAACUUCACGCAUCAAAUCAUGGAGCCUGCAGUUUUUAACAUUGCCAACAGAAUCAAUCCAUGAUACUUGAACCAAGCUUCUAUUAAUGAGCUCAGUUAAGUAUUUUGUUGCAAAUUUUUCCAAGGUGGACAGUUUCGUUGCUAGAAUGUCUCAGAUGAUCGACAACAUGUUUAAGAGGACAGAUUGUGAUUCACCAAUAGACCAGUCGGUAGAGUUGGAAUCAUCCGAGACACACCAAAUUGUUGCAUCCAGUGAAUUAGUGAACCUUAGUAAACCAGAACAACCGCCGGUGGUUUAGGAAUGUUUCUGCCAAAGUCCAGAAAUGAAGUUGUCAAAUGAAGAGGAACUUGAUUUCCCAAUUGGUAAAUCCCUAGAUCCGUCCCCGUUCUCUUCUUUAAUUAGUCCUAUAUUCUUCAUGCACGAAACUCCUUUUUCUUUGAAUCCACAUUCAAAAAACCCCAUUCUGGCAUACUAGAAUCUAGAGUGCUUAAAGAAUCUAACCUGCUGAAUUACCUAGUGAAAUGCAUAUAGAACAUUCUAGAUAUUCAACUGUUGGCGUUUUUAUCUUACAGAAUGUGCUUCUUGGGAAUAGGUUUAGGUCUAUUAGGGUUGUUGAUGCUUGCGGAAAGUUUGACAAGGGUCAUUCAAUGAUGUUUGUGAUUAAGGAUAGGAUUGUUGUUCUUUAUGAUCCCUAUAGGUUUAGACUUUUGGUAAUGACAAAUGAUUGGAUUGGUGUAGAAGUUGAGAAACCGGUGACUGAACUUUCAAAGGUAGGUGACUUGCUCCUUGAGAAUGUGAGGUUCUACAAAAGGAAUAGAAUAAGGAUCUUGAAUUCGUAAAGAAGCUAGUUUCUCUUGCAAAUGUUUAUGUUAAUGAUGCAGUGGGCACUACUCAUAAAGCCCAUGUUCCCACCGAAAGGGCGGCUAAACCCUUUAAGCCUUAUGUUGCUGGUUUUCCUGUGCAGAAGGAACUUGCUUAUCUGGUUGCAAAUGCUGUUUGGAUGAAAGUGAUGCAAUUAUUCUUGGUGCAGAGACCUUUGUUGAUUUGUCAAUAUCAAGAUUUAUUGAUUCAUUCCUUCGUGCUACUGAUGGUGAUGUGGUUCAAUCACAGCCGCAUCUGGGAUGAGACUAAUUAAGGAGCCAGUUAGUGUUUAGGAAAGGAGGAUGAACAAUAGGGGAAUCUUUUGUCGACUUUGGACUAUUUUUUCUGGUGAGAUUAUUGACAACAAUGGCAGAAGUAAAAAGUUUGGAUUUAUGCAGCUUGACUUAGAGGAAUCACAAAUGUUAGAUAUUGUUAUUGUCAAAGAAGUAAUCGAUAGCAAGAAGUUUGAAUUAGUUGCAAUCCUUCACAAGGAGCUUGUACCAUGUGAUUGUGUUCUAUUUGAGAUGCUGACUAGCAUGAAGAGUUUGGGAAAUAGAAGGGACCUUGUAAUAGCAAGAAGGCUCAAAGGUUCAAGUUCACAAGCUUUUAAUAUUUUGGGAUGCAUUCAGCAGGCACAAUCUGGAACUGUGAAGACGGUAAUUUCUACUCUAGAAUUUUACACCAACUUGACUAUGGUGAUUACCUUGGAGGUAAGGUUUAUGCUUGUGUUGGUGGGACAAAUGUCCACAAGGACAGCAGAUUCUUCAAAGUUGUGUAAAUGUUACUGUCAGCACUUCCGUUCGUAUCUAUGACAUGUUUAGAAGUCAGUCAUUUCAUUCAGAUUAUAUAAAGAUGUUUGUUUUGAAUGCGCUGAUGUGGAUCCACGGUUUAUGGUGGAGGAUGAAAGCCUUGUUUGACCUGCAUGAUGUUGUCAUCUUAUUUGAGCACCGAAGUCAAGAAAUACCUAUGAGUUAUGUUUCUGAAACGGAGAGAGAUAUGUUAUUCCAAUACAGGCACAGAGCCACAUUCUAGUAAGGCUUGCUUCUGUUAUGGUAUGUUAAGUGCGCCAUAUAAAAAGACUUCUCAUAUUCAUGAAAUACCUGUCAUAAAUUGGUUCUGGCUGCGAGUUCCCACCCGUUUGGACCAUUCUCAAAUACAUUUUCAAUUCAGCCAAAUGCUUCAGGGUGUUGCACUAAGAAACAUGUUUCCUGCAUGUGUAAAUUCCAUUCUAAGCACCGUUCGUGAUGCAUCUGAGAUGUCCAAUUUUUUCUGCAAAGUUCCUCGUCCAAUUCAAGGUGUUAGAAUAAGCUAGACUUGUGAUUUACAAGCUAGGAUUUCCAGCAAUGCUUGCAUUCAAACCAAUCUUGCAUGAGUUACAAAUCAAGAAACAUGUGGGAAAAGAGCCAGUGCAGUCACAAUUGCCUUUUUUAGAUGUUGUUGGUGCCAUAGCGAAGGAACCGGUGGCAAUUUUGGACAGACUUAUGAACAAAACGAGAAGCAGACUGGUCACUACAGUACUGGUGCUAGGGAUUAAUUACAUCUAGAAGCUGCUUCUUGGAAAGUCUUAUCUGAUCUACAACAGAAAUUCCCUUCCUUUGAUCCUUGAGGACAAGGAUCCUUUCCAGGGUGGUUGUAUUGUUACGGGCCAAAGUAUAUAGAUGGGCCUAUGAAGUGUAAGGUCAGUAGUUGAGUCCAGUCCAAUAAUUAGGAUUAUUUCAAAUAUUAGUUAAAAUCAGUGAAUGUCCGGAUUAGUUAUAUCACAAUUCGAUUAGUUAAAAAGCUGAUGUCAUAUUGCUGAUGUCAUGGUCUGUUAAAGGUUUUUAGAAGGGAGGAGACGAUGGUUGUAGGCAUUCUGAAAAUUCAUACAACAUAAUACAAUAUUUCUCUCUAUACUUUCUCUUUUCUUCUUCUUCCUUUACUCUUCUCUGAUUCAAGGCUGGGUAGAUUUCUUCAUCAACUUAAUGUCUUCAUUCUCAGUUGGCCCAUACCAGGUUUCAAAUUUUCCCAAAGCAGACUUUUGAUGAUAGGAACUAGGUAGUCAAACGAAUUUAAAAGAUAAGAAAACAUGAGUGUAUAGUUAAAUCAUUGAAAUAUCGGAGCAAGAUUUUGCCUUUUUUUUUUUUUUUCGUUUGUCAAAGGAAUCAUGCAGUGCACAAAAACCUAAUGUUGGAAAUCUGAAAUCAUGAAUUGAUAGCUUAUUUCAGAACCUUUUGCUUCGUUACCAUGGAAUACACAAUCUCAACAUGACAAACCUGGAUAGCUACUACCAAGUUUGCAAUCUCUCAUCAGAAGACCUAUGGUUACUUCUGAUACAACACUUAUUCUCUGAAAACAAAGUAGAGACAAUUUGGUAGCUUGCCCUCAUCAUUCAGGUUUCCAUGAAGACAAGGGAGGAGUUUCAGAUUCAUGGUACGUAGCGAUAGUUCCACCGUAUCUGUCUCCCUUCACAGCAUCCGCUGAAGCAAUAGAUUCUAGCUCAGUCAUCUCUUCAGGUGUUAAUUUUACGGACAAAGCUCCAAUGUUCUGGUUGAAGUUUUCAGUUUUGGUGGUUCCAGGAAUGGGACAGACAUCAUUCCCUUGGUGAUGAACCCAUGCCAAUGCAAGCUGUGAUGGGGUGCACCCCUUCUUUGCUGCUAUCUCAUUAACUCGCUCAUAAAGACGUCUGUUGUGCUCAAGAUUUUCAGGUUGGAACCUCGGUAGAUACUGUGACAAUUGAAAAUCCAUUCACAUGAUUGUUAUGAAAAAUAAAGAUGAUCUGCAGCAGACCAUUACUUUCUGCAAAUAAUACAGAUUUAGGAUUCAAGGCAUUUCAAAAAGUGUUUGACAAUUCAUGCCAUCAAUGGUUGUCAAAAUGGACCUCAUUUAAUUGCCCAAAUACAGAAAAGAUCUCAUAUCCUCAGAUUUGAUUUAAAUAGAAGGCUAAAUGCCUAUUUCAGAAAGAUUUAAAUGGGGUACUAAUUUUGUAACAAACAAUUAACCAUGCAGUUCCUUAAAAGUAUAUUCAUGUACUCCAGAGUUCAGUCAUUAACUUCAAUUGUUAAAAUUAAGACUAAUGUAACCUGGAGCUUAGUUAAGUUGGUUCAUGCAACUGCCCUUAAGAGUAACAUCCAGCAGGUUUAGGAUUCAAAUUUCAGUGUCUGCAACCUCUUUCCCUAUCCCCAGGCUGCGGCCUCCUUUAUACUAAAAAAAGAUAGGACUAAUGCUCGUUACCUAAUUUAUACAUCACUUGGUUCAUUUGAUACAGAAUUCUCAAAUACAAGUAACAGAUGUCUCAUCUGUGACUCUGAUCUCAACUGAAGCAAACAAAUCUCCACUACAAACUUCCCUGAAGUUUUUCAUUAAAAGAUGCAUUAGAUGAUUGUAAACCGCUGCUAAGUGAGAAGUAACGGAUAUUAAUCAAUGGCUCACAAGAGACACUUGCAGUCUGGCAAAACUCAAUGGGAAGGACAUAAAGGUAUAAGUCAGCCUCUGUUAUUAAAGGUGAUUUGAAGCUUAACAUGCCUGCAUACUAUUUCACUUGAAAGUUGCGUGAUGCAUAUGACUUCACUAUAUAAUGGUAGUGGAUAUGACACAAUAGGGAAAAAGAUUAUGAACAUUUUCAAACUUCAAUUCUUAACCAGUCCACCCUUACUGUACUGCACAGUUGGAUAAUAUACACUUAGACAGUAAACACUAACAUUUAACUAAAACCAAUUCACAUGAGACUCACACUAAAUUGGAAAGAACAAGAUUGCUAGCAUUGAGGCACUUAAGAGACUAAAAUUGGGUGGUUUUCAUUACAGAGUAAGCUAACAAAGAGGAAAAUGUUGCAGAACAACUUAAGCAUAAAAAUUAUUUGGCUCUCAUAUGUAAAUACUCUUGUCUUGUCAGCAACCUCCGAUGCUGACUUAGGCUAGAGUUGAAAAUCUAGAAUACCCUAAUUUUUUUUUAAUAUUUUAGACCAUCAGGCACACGGCUACUGGAACUAAGAGUAAGCACUCUACCAAUAGGCACCCAGCUGUUGGCUAAUACCAUUAAAUUUAAUAUGCCUAAAAUAACAGAUAAUCAUGGCUUAUGAACAAGUAUCCAAAUGUGAAAAGUAGCUACAAACCUUUCUGAAGUCAUCAUUGGAAAAAGUUUCCACUAUUUUAGGCCCUGAUGAAAAGAAUCCUCUCCCCAGAGGGCUGUAAGCGACAAUCCCAAUCCCAAGUUCCCUAAGAAAUUAAAAGGAAUCACAUCAAAUAAGAAUUCCAAAUCAGAAAUUUUCAAAAAAAAAAAGAAAUUUGUUGGUCUUAUGGAUAAAUAACCUGCAAGUCGGAAUGAUGUCUGCCUCAACAUCUCUAGACCACAAGGACCACUCCAAUUGUACAGCAGUAAUUGGAUGAACAGCAUGUGCCCUUCUAAUUGUCGAAGCAGAAGCCUCAGAUAAACCUAUAUACUUUACUUUACCUUCUUCAACUAGUUUCUUAAGUUCUCCCAUCUGGGUGAAAAGAAAAAAAAAAGCAACAAUCAAUAAAAGAAUAAGAAGAAAAAAGCAAGGGGACAAAAGUCAAAACAAAAAACAAACCGUGACUUCAAUGGGAACCCUGGUAUCAAUCCGAUGCUGGUAAUAAAGAUCGAUACAAUCAACACCAAGACGCUUCAAGCUACCUUCACAGGCCGCUCUGACAUAAGCAGGGUCACCACGGAUUUCCCUCUUGCCAUCAGUAUAGUCUAUACCAAACUUAGUAGCCAAUUCAACCCUGUCUCUUACACCAUCUUUCAAGGCCUUACCAAUAAGGAUUUCAUUGGUAUGGGGACCAUAAACAUCAGAAGUAUCAAGAAAGGUAACCCCGGAGUUGAUAGCAUGGUGGAUUAGAGCAAUCAUGUCAGCUUCGGGCUUUGGAGGACCAUAGAAAGCUGACAUCCCCAUGCAUCCAAGGCCUUGAGCUGACACUUCCAGGCCCUGAGAACCCAACUUGAUCCUCCCAACUUUUUCAGUUGCCAUGUUUCACUGAUGGUUGAGUGUGAAGCGAUUAGCUAUCUGGAUUUUUGGUGUUGAGGAUGGAGGUUUCACCGUUUCAGCACUGUUAAAUAGUGGCUGGGGAAAGGGCAUGACGUAAGGGCAUAUGUUAAUACAGAUUAAUGAUUGCGUAUAUUAUUGUAAUAUUCAAGAAAAUUAUAAACAAAGUCAAAUAAGACCUUACAACUUAGUAGUUAAAGUUUUUUUUUUUUUUUUUUAAUUCUUUGCUACAUUUAUGAAUUUUAUAAGAAAACUUAAGUAAUUUAUGAAUGUUAUAAAAAGUUUUUGAAAAUUUCUUUGUACAUAAGUAAAUUAUGUAAAAAGCUUUUACAUAAGAUGUCAACAACUCAACAUCACCAUUUUUUUCUCUUUUCUUAAAAAGUAAAAAUUAUGGUAAACUAAAUAUUUGUUUAUCAAAAGAACACCAAAUAUUAAUAGAGAGGUCAUUAACAUUGCACUAAAUUUGAAUCCGAGAUUUAGUUCGACUAAUUUAUAUAUUUAUAUUUAGAAAGUAAAAUUUAAUAAGUCUAAAUUAUUGACAAAAAAUUAAAAUUCAAAUUUUAACACAAUUUUUUUCUCAAUCUCCAUAAUAUGACUUUUUAUGUAAAAUAAAAUUAUACUUAAUCUCAAAAUUAAUUAGUUCACCUGUCAAGGAAAAAUCAAAUUAAAAAACAUUACUAAUUAAUUAUGACUAAUAGAAAUUAUAAUUUCUUGAACAUUAUUAAUUUCUUAUCACACCCAUCAUUUAUGUUAAAUGAAAAAAAUCAUAAUUAUUUUUAUAACUAUAAAAUAACAAGUGGUGCUUAAAUGAAUUUUAUAAUAAAAUAUUUAGAAGCAAUAAAUACCAUUAAAAGGACAUUAGGAUUGCAUCUAACAUUUGAUUUUUCUUUUGGCCAAAACCUAACAUUGGUUUUAUAAAGUUAUCUUGAAAUUUUCUUUCAAAAUUGGAAUCUUAAAAAUUCAUAAUAUAAAUUUUCGAAAGAACGAAGUGCGGCACUCACUUUUUUUUUUUUUGGCAUUUUCUUUGUUUUUUUUUUUUAUUUAUAGGUUUUUUUUUCUUUUACCUGUUUUAAUUUAUUGACUUUCGCAUGUGAAAAAAGUAAAGAAAGUAAAAAUUGAUGGGACAAUGAUUGAUGAAGAGUUGGUGAAAGUUGGUAAAGAGUAAAGAUUAACAAAGAGAGUUAAAAGUAAAAAAGCAAGGAAAAAAUUGAGGUACCCUCCUUUGUAUCAUUUCUUUUCUUUUUUAAUCCUUAUUUAAUUGUUUUUUAUUUAAUUGUUAUUGUUUAUUUUUUAUGAUUAAAUAUAAAAAAUUAUUUAAUUAUAUAUUUUUCUAUCAAUUUGAUAUAAAAUAAAAUAAAAUUAUUAAUUUGACACCUAAACUUUCAUUCUAUUAUCACUUUAAAACAUUAGACUAAUAUCAUUAGUCCAUUUAUUGAUUGUUAAUACUUAAUUUUUUUUAGCAAAUUCUAGUCAAAUAUGAAGCGUUUAAAAUUCAAUCUAAUUUAAAUCUAAUAUUUCUUUAAUAUUGAUAAAUUAUCAAAACUAAAUUAUGGAUCAAAUUGACUUGAAUAUCCUUUAGUCAAAUCUAGUCAAUAAUAAUCAAACUCGAUCAAAUUAGGAUUAAUCUUUGGAACUCAUAACCAAAUAGGAUUUUUAAAACUUGAGAUUAAUAAUUUAUGAUUUUGAUGCACUAAAAAUCAUGAUUAUAACUCGAAAUGUGUAAAAUUAUCAAAAUAUUUUUUAGAGGUAUUUUUAUAAUUUGAUCUUUUUUAGAUUAUGUUUUGGUAUUAUUUAAUAAUUUUUUACAUUAAAAACCUUAAUCGCACCUCAUAAAAUAUGAAAUUAUCAAAAUAUCAUUUAGGAGUAUUUUUACAAAAAGUUUUAGAUCAUAUUUUAAUAUUAUUUUAUGAUUUUUGAUAUAUUAAAACCCUUAUCGCAUCUUAAAGUGUAAAACUAUCAAAAUGUCCUCUAAAAAUAUUUUCAUAAUUUGACUUUUCGAGAUUGGUAUUUCGUAAAAAACUUCAAAUCAUGUUUUGAUAUUAUUUCAUGACUUUUGAUAUAUUAAAAACUUUGAUUGCACUUCUAAAUGUGUGAAAUUAUCAAAAUAUUUUUUAAGCGUAUUUUUAUAAUUUAACUUUUUUCCAAGUUGAUUUUUCGCAAAAAUGCUUCAAAUCAAAAUUUGAUAUUAUUUCAGGGUGUUGCACUAAGAAACAUGUUUCCUGCAUGUGUAAAUUCCGCUCUAAGGACCGUUCCUGAUGCAUCUGAGAUUGUCCAAUUUUUUUCUGCAAAGUUCCUCGUCCAAUUCAAGGUGUAAGCUAGACUUGUGAUUUACAAGCUAGGAUUUCCAGCAAAUGCUUGCAUUCAACCAAUCUUGAUGAGUAACAAAUCAAGAAAACAUGUGGGAAAAGAGCCACGUGGCAUGGUCACAAUUGCCUAGUUUAGAUGUUUGUUGAUGCCAUAGCCGAAGGAACCGGUGGCCAAUUUUGGACAGACUUAUGAAUCAAAAUGAGAAGCAGGACUGGUCACUUACAGUACUGGUGUUUGGGAUUAAUUAACAUCUAGCAAGGCUGCGUUUGGAAAGUCUUAUCUGGAUCUACAAAGAAAUUCCCUUCCUUUGAUCCUUUCACAGGGGGGUUGUAUUGUUUACGGGCCAAAGUAUAUAGAUGGGCCUAUGAAGUGUAAGGUCAGUAGUUGAGUCCAGUCCAAUAAUUAGGAUUAUUUCAAAUAUUAGUUAAAAUCAGUGAAUGUGCGAUUAGUUAUAUCACAACUAGAUUAGUUAAAAAGCUGAUGUCAAUUGCUGAUGUUCAUGGUCUGUUAAAGGUUUUUAGAAGGGAGGAGACGAUUGGUUGUAGGCAUUCUGAAAAUUCAUACAACAUAAUACAAUAUUUCUCUCUAUACUUUCUCUUUUCUUCUUCUUCCAUUUACUCUUCUCUGAUUCAAGGCUGGGUAGAUUUCUUCAUCAACUUAAUGUCUUCAUUCUCAGUUGGCCCCAUACCAGCUUUCAAAUUUCCCAAUGUUUAAGCAGACUUUUGAUGAUAGAAAGUCAGGAAGUCAAACGAAUUUAAAAGAGAAGAAAGCAUGAGAGAUAGUUAAAUCAUUGAAAUAUUGGAGCAAGAUUUUGCCUUUUUUUUUUUUCGUUUGGUCAAAGGAAUCAUGCAGUGCACAAAAAACCUAAUGUUGGGAAAUCUGAAAUCAUGCAUUGAUAGCUUAUUUCAGAACCUUUUGCUUCAUUACCAUGGGAAUACACAAUCUCAACAUGACAAACCUGGAUAGCUACUACCAAGUUUGCAAUCUCUCAUCAGAAGACCUAUGGAUACUUCUGAUACAACACUUAUUCUCUUGAAACAAAGUAGAGACAAUUGUAGCUUGCCCUCAUCAUUCAGGUUUCCAUGAAGACAAGGGAGGAGUUUCAGAUUCAUGGUACGUAGCGAUAGUUCCACCGUAUCUAUCUCCCUUCACAGCAUCUGCUGAAGCAAUAGAUUCUAGCUCAGUCAUCUCUUCAGGUGUUAAUUUUACGGACAAAGCUCCGAUGUUGUGGCUGAAGUUUUCAGUUUUGGUGGUUCCAGGAAUGGGACAGGACAUCAUUCCCUUGGUGAUGAACCCAUGCCAAUGCAAGCUGCGAUGGGGUGCACCCCUUCUUUGCUGCUAUCUCAUUAACUCGCUCAUAAAGACGGUCUGUUGUGCUCAAGAUUUUCAGGUUGGAACCUCGGUAGAUACUGUGACAAUUGAAAAUCCAUUCACAUGAUUGUCAUGAAAAAUAAAGAUGAUCUGCAGCAGACCAUUACUUUCUGCAAAUAAUACAGAUUUAGGAUUCAAGGCAUUUCAAAAAGUGUUUGACAAUUCAUGCCAUCAAUGGUUGUCAAAAUGGACCUCAUUUAAUUGCCCAAAUACAGAAAAGAUCUCAUAUCCUCAGAUUUGAUUUAAAUAGAAGGCUAAAUGCCUAUUUCAGAAAAUUUAAAUGGGGUACUAAUUUUUUAACAAAAAUUAACCAUGCAGUUCCUUAAAAGUAUAUUCAUGUACUCCAGAGUUCAGUCAUUAACUUCAAUUGCUAAAAUUAAGACUAAUGUAACCUGGAGCUUAGUUAAGUUGGUUCAUGCAACUGCCCUUAAGAGUAACAUCCAGCAGGUUUAGGAUUCAAAUUCCAGUGUCUGCAACCUCUUUCCCUAUCCCCAGGCUGCGGCCUCCUUUGUACUAAAAAAAGAUAGGACUAAUGCUCGUUACCUAAUUUAUACAUCACUUGGUUCAUUUGAUACAGAAUUCUCAAAUACAAGUAACAGAUGUCUCAUCUGUGACUCUGAUCUCAACUGAAGUAAACAAAUCUCCACUACAAACUUCCCUGAAGUUUUUCAUUAAAAGAUGCAUUAGAUGAUUGUAAACCGCUGCUAAUUGAUAAGUAACGGAUAUUAAUCAAUGGCUCACAAGAGACACUUGCAGUCUAGCAAAACCCAAGGGAAGGACAUAAAGGUAUAGUCAGCCCUCUGUUAUUAAAGGUGAUUUGAAGCUUAACAUGCCUGCAUACUAUUUCACUUGAAAGUUGCGGGAUGCAUAUGACUUCACUAUAUAAUGGUAGUGGAUAUGACACAAUAGGGAAAAAGAUUAUGAACAUUUUCAAACUUCAAUUCUUAACUAGUCCUCCCUUACUGUACUGCACAGUUGGAUAAUAUACACUUAGACAGUAAACACUGACAUUUAAUUAAAACCAAUUCACAUGAGACACCCACUAAAUUGGAAAGAACUAGAUUGCUAGCAUUGAGGCACUUAAGAGACUAAAAUUGGGUGGCUUUCAUUACAGAGUAUGCUAACAAAGAGGAAAAUGUUGCAGAACAACUUAAGCAUACAAAUUAUUUGGCUCUCAUAUGUAAAUACUCUUGUCUUGUCAGCAACCUCCGAUGCUGACUUAGGCUAGAGUUGAAAAUCUAGAAUACCCUAAUUUUUUUUUAAUAUUUUAGACCAUCAGGCACACGGCUACUGGAACUAAGAGUAAGCACUCUACCAAUAGGCACCCAGCUGUUGGCUAAUACCAUUAAAUUUAAUAUGCCUAAAAUAACAGAUAAUCAUGGCUUAUGAACAAGUAUCCAAAUGUGAAAAGUAGCUACAAACCUUUCUGAAGUCAUCAUUGGAAAAAGUUUCCACUAUUUUAGGCCCUGAUGAAAAGAAUCCUCUCCCCAGAGGGCUGUAAGCGACAAUCCCAAUCCCAAGUUCCCUAAGAAAUUAAAAGGAAUCACAUCAAAUAAGAAUUCCAAAUCAGAAAUUUUCAAAAAAAAAAGAAAUUUGUUGGUCUUAUGGAUAAAUAACCUGCAAGUAGGAAUGAUGUCUGCCUCAACAUCUCUAGACCACAAGGACCACUCCAAUUGUACAGCAGUAAUUGAUGAACAGCAUGUGCCCUUCUAAUUGUCGAAGCAGAAGCCUCAGAUAAACCUAUAUACUUUACUUUACCUUCUUCAACUAGUUUCUUAAGUUUUCCCAUCUGGAAAAAAAAAAAAAAGCAACAAUAAUAAAAGAAUAAAAAAAAGCAAAAAGUCAAAACAAAAAAAAAAUCAUGACUUCAUAGGAACCCUGGUAUCAAUUCGAUACUGGUAAUAAAGAUCAAUACAAUCAAUAUUAAGACGCUUCAAGCUACCUUCACAGGCCGCUCUGACAUAAGCAGGGUCACCACGGAUUUCCCUCUUGCCAUCAGUAUAGUCUAUACCAAACUUAGUAGCCAAUUCAACCCUGUCUCUUACACCAUCUUUCAAGGCCUUACCAAGAAGGAUUUCAUUGGUAUGGGGACCAUAAACAUCAGAAGUAUCAAGAAAGGUAACCCCGGAGUUGAUAGCAUGGUGGAUUAGAGCAAUCAUGUCAGCUUCGGGCUUUGGAGGACCAUAGGCAGCUGACAUCCCCAUGCAUCCAAGGCCUUGAGCUGACACUUCCAGGCCCUGAGAACCCAACUUGAUCCUCCCAACUUUUUCAGUUGCCAUGUUUCACUGAUGGUUGAGUGUCAAGCGAUUAGCUAUCUGGAUUUGUGGUGUUGAGGAUGGAGGUUUCAGCAUUGUUAAGUGGGUGGCUGGGGAAAGGGCAUGACGUAAGGGCAUAUGUUAAUACAGAUUAAUGAUUGCGUAUGUUAUUGUAAUAUUCAAGAAAAUUAUAAACAAAGUCAAAUAAGACCUAACAAUUAGUAGUUAAAGUUUUUUUUUUUUUUUUUUUUAAAUUCUUUGCUACAUUUAUGAAUUUUAUAAGAAAACUUAAGUAAUUUAUGAAUGUUAAAAGUUUUUGAAAAUUUCUUUGCUACAUAAGUAAAUUAUGUAAAAAGCUUUUACAUAAGAUGUCAACAACUCAACAUCACCAUUUUUUUCUCUUUUUCUUAAAAUGUAAAAAUUAUAGUAAAAUAAAUAUUUGUUUAUCAAAAGAACACCAAAUAUUAAUAGAGAGGUCAUUAACAUUGCACUAAAUUUGAAUCCGAGAUUUAGUUCGACUAAUUUAUAUAUUUAUAUUUAGAAAGUAAAAUUUAAUAAGUCUAAAUUAUUGACAAAAAAUUAAAAUUCAAAUUUUAACACAAUUUUUUUCUCAAUCUCCAUAAUAUGACUUUUUAUGUAAAAUAAAAUUAUACUUAAUCUCAAAAUUAAUUAGUUCACCUGUCAAGGAAAAAUCAAAUUAAAAAACAUUACUAAUUAAUUAUGAUUAAUAGAAAUUAUAAUUUCUUGAACAUUAUUAAUUUCUUAUUACACCCACAUUUAUGUUAAAUGAAAAAAAUCAUAAUUAUUUUUAUAACUAUAAAAUAACAAGUGAUGCUUAAAUGAAUUUUAUAAUAAAAUAUUUAGAAGCAACAAAUACCAUUAAAGGGACAUUAGGAUUGCAUCUAACAUUGGAUUUUUCUUUUGGCCAAAACCUAACAUUGGUUUUAUAAAGUUAUCUUGAAAUUUUCUUUCAAAAUUGAAAUCUUAAAAAUUCAUAAUAUAAAUUUUAUAAAGAACGAAGUGCAUUGGGAGUGUCUAAUGGCACUCACUUUUUUUUUUUUUGGCAUUUUCUUAGUUUUUUUUUUAUUUAUAGUUUUUUUUUUGUUUCUUUUACCUGUUUUAAUUUAUUUACUUUUGCAUGUGAAAAAAGUAAAGAAAGUAAAAAUUGAUGGGACAAUGAUUGAUGAAGAGUUGGUCAAACUUUGGUAAAGAAUAAAGGUUAACAAAGAGAGUUAAAAGUAAAAAAGCAAGGAAAAAACUGAGGUACGCCUCAUUUGUAUCAUUUCUUUUCUUUUUUAAUCCUUAUUUAAUUGUUAUUGUUUAUUUUUUAUGGUUAAAUAUAAAAAAUUAUUUAAUUAUAUAUUUUCUAUCAAUUUGAUAUAAAAUAAAAUAAAAUUAUUAAUUUGGCACUUAAACUUUCAUUUCAUUAUCACUUUGAUACAUAUGACUAAUAUCAUUAGACCAUUUAUUGGUUGUUAACACUUAAUUUUUUCUGAACAAAUUCUAGCCAAAUAUGAAGUGUUUAAAAUCUAAUCUAGUUUAGAUCCAAUAUUUCUUUAAUAUUGAUAAAUUAUCAAAACUAAAUUAUAGAUCAAAUUGACUUGAAUAUCCUUUAGUCAAAUCCAGUCAAUAAUAAUCAAACUCAAUCAAAUUCGGGUUAAUCUUUGGAACUCAUAACCAAAUAGGAUUUUUAAAACUUGAGGUUAAUAAUUUAUGAUUUUGAUGCACUAAAAGUCAUGGUUAUAACUCGAAAGGUGUGAAAUUAUCAAAAUAUUUUUUAGAAGUAUUUUCAUAAUUUGAUUUUUUUUAGAAAAAUUUUUCAUGAAAAACUUUAGAUCAUGUUUUGAUAUUAUUUAAUAAUUUUUUACAUUAAAAACCCUAAUCGCACCUCAUAAAGUAUAAAAUUAUCAAAAUAUCCUUUAGGAGUAUUUUUACAAAAAGUUUUAGAUCAUAUUUUGAUAUUAUUUCAUGAUUUUUGAUAUAUUAAAACCUUUAUCGCACCUUAAAAAGUGUGGAACUACCAAAAUGUCAUCUAAAGGUAUUUUCAUAAUUUGACUUUUCAAGGUUGGUAUUUCGUAAAAAACUUCAAAUCAUGUUUCGAUAUUAUUUCAUGACUUUUGAUAUAUUAAAAACUUUGAUUGCACUUCUAAAUGUGUAAAAUUACCAAAAUAUAUUUUAAGAGUAUUUUUAUAAUUUGACUUUUUUCGAAGUUGAUUCUUCGCAAAAAGCUCCGAAUCAUAUUUUGGUAUUAUUUCAAGAUUUUUUAUACAUUAAAAAACCUCAUCGCACUCUAAAAAGAGUAAAAUUACUAAAAUAUCUUUUACGGGUAUUUUCAUAAUUUGAUCUUACCAAAGUCAAUUUUUCGCUAAAAGCUCUAGAUUAUGAUCAAAUAUUAUUUUAUAAUUUUUGGUGCAUUAAAAUCACAAAAAAAAGGGAUCAUAAGUUUCUAAGAAAAUCAUGUAAAAAUGGCCAAAUUUUUAAUGGGGCAAAAUAGUUUUUUCCAUUGUUACUGUUGCACUAACAGUCAAAAUUUGUACUGUAUUUAUUAUAAGCCUUUGAUCUUUCAAGAGGUUAGAUCCUAGGGUGAAAAGUGGUUACUUGAUUAAUAAACUCGAGGAAUAGCAAGGGCCAUUGGAUGAGGAAAUGAUAAAGGGCUAAAGGAUCAUUGCUUAGCCUUUAUAUUUAUCAUAUAAGACUGGAAAUGAAGAAAACGAGGCAACAACAAUUGUAGCGUGAAAAUGGAGAAAAAGAAAGGAAAAAAGAAAAAUUGGGUUUGAAGGUAUAAUCCUAUCUUUACUUUCAUGCAUUUUCAUGUUAGUUUUCAUACUCUUUCAUAUUAGUUUUCUUUUAUUUUUGUGAUGUUUCAAAAGGGAACAACUCUAUCCAUAAUUGCCUUCCUCAAUAACUCCAUGCUUGAUUCAAUAAAUUCAACCAACUAAAUCAAUAGUAUGGUUUGAAGUGAUAAAGAUCAAGAAAUACCAAAAAUGUUCGAACUUUCUCUUGGCUUAUUCAUGAGGUUUGCUUACUUGAAUCUCUCAAAAUCCUCAUUUUAUCAUGGGUCACUACUACUGUUGACAUUUAGUAGCUUUGUUGCCGAUAUUCAUAGCCCAAAAAAAUAAAAAAAACAUAGUUUAUAAGGUAAAUGCCAUAAAAGGGAAACACUACAACCAAGUUAUCUUCAUUACUUAUAUAUUAUGAUUAAUUAGUUAAAUUUUAAAAUUUUUUACACAUAGGUAUUAAAGCUAAAAUUGAUUGAUUUACGAGGUGGGUUACUUAGACCUACCAUAAGAGAGCAAGAACAUGUUUAACAUGUUCUCCCACAUGGUUGUAUCGUCUAAUAACAAUUUCAUUGUAAGUAUAUGAAGCAAAAAAUUAGAAUUCUUUUAGCAUCUUCUUAGUUUAUGUUCUAAUUAAGUAUUUGUUCUAUUUGAAUUACAGUAUGUAAUUGAUCUUUCUGAAAGAGAAAGUACGAUUCAUAGGACGAGUAAGAAAUCUCCCUUUUUUGAGAUUUAAUUAAUCUAUUUUUAUUGUUAUAAUAAUGUAGUAUAGUGUAUUAUCAUUGUUUACACUUCAUUAAAACUGGUGGAAUGAAAGUAGAAGUUGAUAAAGAUAAGUUUUUAACAUAUACUGCUAUAUUUAUAGCAUUCGAUGUUUGUCAAAAAGUUAAUGAACUGAAUAAAGUUUAUUUGCAUGUCUUUUUUUGGUGUUUGGGUUUUCAUUACUUCAAAUUCUUUUUUAUUCAUGAUUUUGUAUGUGUUUGGCAAUUUGAUCAAAUGCUUAGUAAUGAUCUAGUGGUUGCAUAACAAAGAAUUUUUAGUUAAUUUCUUAUAGUUGAUUUUAUAUACUUCAUUUGAGUAAUGAUUUUUUCAAAUGCUCAGUAUAUUGUCUCAAAAUCCUGAAAGAUUGAUUUUUUUUUUUUUUGUAGUUCAUGUCAUUUGCCAUCAAAAGCAAUGGGUUGAUAUGAUAGUUAUUUUCUUCCCACUCCAAAUCUCAUGUUUUGUUGUAACUUCAUUUACCAUAACAAAUAGACAUAAGGCAGCUUAAAUAGGCCUAUAUCAAACUUGUGAAAAAUUACAAAAACUUAGGGGUGAAAUUGAAAAGUGAAAAAUAAAAUGGAAAAUCCAAUUACAUUGAUAGUAAAGUAGAUUAUGUUGGCUCAUAAAACUUUUAGAUAAAACUUAUGAUGUAAACUCAAGCUCAAGUCAAUGUGACAAAUACAAAAUGUAAGGGCCAAACAUAUAUAACAUUGGUCAGCAUUCAUAUUUUAGAAAGAAGAAACAAGGAUAUUUUUACUUCAUGGUAUUUAAAAGUGAUUAUACAAUAGAAAUAAGCAAUCUCAUAUAUUUAUGGUUAAGUUUAUCUUAUUACUUUGUCUUUUGUUCUGCUUUAUUCAUAGAAAAUGUUUAACCAAGCUUUGAUUAAAACAUAAAUAAGGAUCAUCAUCUAGCAAAAGUUAGCAACCAAUCAUUAUGGAAUUGUGAGUCAACUCUUUUUAAGAAUAUAGGUACCUCAUGAUCUCCUUUGUUGGCACUAUACGAAUUACCAUCAAAGUAAAUUUAUGUAAUUGUAAUUAGAAAGCGAACUUCUUUGACGUUUGCAUGAGCAUCAUCUAAAUCAACAAUAUAUUUAAUUGCAAAAAGUACAAACUUCUAAAUUUUUCAUUUUUAUUGGAGAUUGACUUAUAUUUCCCUUUGGUUUGCUUUUUUCAUUAUUAAUAGUAACAUUUUUUUAAAACAUUAAUGAAAUGGCAGGUUACAGCAUUGACUAAGAUUGAGUUGUUCAAGUUAAUGAUAUCAAGGGCUUCACUUGUAGUAAGUUAAUCACCUAAGAUGUAAACUUUUGUUUUUGUUAAAUCUAUUUUUAUCAUGAUCAUUUAGUCUCACUACAAGAAAAUGAAAGAUUAGUGGCAGUUUUGUAAAGACGUUUCACUUACAAACGCUGCUAGCUUCCGUGUUUUUAUAAAACUUAAGGCAUUUAUUAUCAAAACGUCACUAAACGUAUUUAAAUUAGCGACAUUGUUCACUUAUUAAAUGCCACCUAAGACUUGAUAUUUUGCGACAUGUUCUCGACUAAAAUGCUUGAAUAUUCUACCUUAAAAUUUUGAUGAUACAUAAAGUAUUUUUUUACAGAAAAUGGCUGAGUAUCUCAUUAAAAAAAUUGAUAGGAAAUUACUAAAGGCAUUUUUAGUAGACAACGCAUUCAAUAAUCAUUCAUAAAAAAUAUGUGAUUAUUGAAAGCGUUUUUUAAGAAACGCCGUUAAUAAUUUCACCAAAAUUUUCAUAGGUGAUGAAGGCGUUUUUUAGGUAAAAAAAACACCAUAAUAAUAUCAUAUAAAAUUUUAGGAUCGUACGGAUGUUAACCAUAAGGUGGUAAGUUCAAUCUCUUCUUUUAACUUUUUUUGGGUUGUUACAAAAAUUAUUUAUAAUUGAUUAUUGUAGGCAUUUUUUUGGCAAACACGCUUUCACUAAUUGCUUUAAAAAAUUUUGGAAAGAAUAUUGAAAGUGUUUUUGACAGAGAAACGCCCUUAAUAAUCCAUAAGAAAAAUAUGAAACGAUUUUCGAAGGUAUUUUUGAUCGAACUCGCUUUCUAUAAUCAAAUCAAUAAAUUUUUAGUUAGGAUUAUUAAAGGCUAUUUUUAUAUAAAAAAAAAAAACGCCUUCAAUAAUCCAUAGACCAAAGUUGGAACGGAUUCUUGAAAGCAUUUUUUGUCAAAAUGCCUUUAAUAUUUCAGACGAUAAAUUUGAAUAGUUGGAUAAUUGAAGGUGAUUUUUUUCAAAAAUGCCUUCAAUAACAUUUUGUUAUGGAUUAUUCAAGGCGUUACUGGUAGGAAAAUACCCUUAAUAAUCCAUUCAAUUAAUUUUUUGUUGGUAUUAUUGAAGGUAAUUUUUUUAAAAAAUACCUUCAAUAAUCUAUACAAAAAAGUUAAAACAGAUUCUUGAAGGCGUUUUUUGACCAAAACACCUCUAAUAUUCCAUACAAUAAAAUUUUAAGUGGGAUUGUUGAAGGCGAUUUUGGUAAAAAAUGCUUUCAAUAAUAUUUUCUUAAAGAUUAUUCAAGGCAUUUUUUUAAGAUUAUUCAAAGCAUUUUCUUACUAAAUAUACGGUUAAUAAUCCAUAGAAAAUAUAUGAAACAGAUUCUUGAAGGUGUUUUUAGGUGAAAGCGCCUUCAAUAAUCCAAUAAAUAAUUUUUUAACAGAAAUUAUUGAAGGGAAUUUUUUUUUCAAAAAUACCUUCAAUAAACCAUACACAAUAUUUGGUACAGAUUCUUGAAGGCAUUUUUUUCCCAGAACACCUUUAAUAUUCCAUAAAAUAUAUUUUUAGGUGGGAUUAUUGAAGGCGAUUUUGGUUAAAAAUGCCUUUAAUAACAUUUUGUUAGGGAUGAUUCAAGGUAUUUUCUUGAUAAAAAUGCUUUCAUUAAUCCCAUCAAAAAAAUAUAUUUGAUAUUAUAUAUGUCAAGUCAAUUGUAGGUUUUAUACCCAGAAAACAUUUGAAGUCAGUUAUAUAUUUAUGCUCAAAAAAUAUUUGAUUUAUAUAUGUGAUACUGCGAAUUAUAUUUUGAAAUUUACAUAAUGAACAUUGUUAUAUUUCAAUAAAUUGACUACACAUCCAAAAUUAAAACUGAUAACGUUAUCAUAUUAACAAACUUUUAUGAAAUAAUCAUACUCAAUAAUACAUUAAGUACACAUAUGUGUAUUCAUAUUAAGUAUACCAAUAAUAUUAAACCAAUACCUCAGUGUACAAACUUAAAAUUUUCAUUCAACAUGGCAUGUUGAAAACAUUAAAACAAUUUGUUCCUCAUAUAUUUACAUUCAACCAAUAAUGUCUAACCUCAAGGUUUAUCAACAUUAAUAAAUGAUAGUACAUACUCACACCAUUUUUCAUGGACUUCAUCCAAUUCCUCUUUCGUGAAGCUUUCUUUACUAUCCCACUAAAAAAAAUAUCAAAAAUAAAUGUUAAUAAAUGAGAACAUAAUGUACUUUUUUAUUUUUUUGAAGAUAUAACAAGUUUAUGAAAUUUAUACUAACCUUGAAUGGUGUGAUCAUAAAAUCAUCUAACACUAUCUCUCGCAUAAAACGAAGGACAUAAUAUUUGCAUUCAGUAUUACUAGGUUGAUGAGGUACCUAAAAAUUAAAUUAAGUGGGUUUAGAAAAAAUUUAUCUACACAAACUCAGCAUAAAAGAAUAAAUUUCAUAUUUACCGAUAAUGACACCCAUUUCGAUUUUUUUGCCUUCUUAUUGAAUGCAGAUAUUAUCCUAAAUUGAAAAGAAAAAAAUUACUUAAUACAUAAAUAAAAUUACUUAUGAAGAAAUAUAAGAUAUAUAAUAUAAUAAAGUGUAAUACCUCUUUAUAAAAGUUUGAAUAUCGGGGUUAGGCAUCACCAUUAGAUUUGAAUUAAGUAAGUAUGGCGUUAGAGAUUUGGUGUCAAUCACAAUAAGCACCCAAUAAUGACUGUAAAAUAAUAAUAAUGAUAUACUCAGAUUAUGCAUCAAAUUAGAUUUUGGUAAGGUUGGAAGAAUUAAGGUUAGAAUAUAACUUACUAUGUAUUAUACGGAAGCAAAUAAUAAUCAACCAGUCUUUUCAUGCAUUUGAUCACAUGAUUAGCAUGAUAAGCGACUAUGCCACUCUGCUCACUAAUGAAGUUAAGGUCAAUGAAUCUAAAUCUAUUGAUCAACUGUCUCCCCUUGAGCUCUUUAUAUAAGAAGCUACACGAUAACAAUCAACACUGCUAGUUAGUAUUAUACCCUAAUGUAGAUUAAUACAUAUUGAAUGUGCAUAUUUGUAUUUAUAAGUUAAUCUCAUAUAAGCAACAAUAUCAAUAGCUAAUAAUUUAUCCAGUUUACAAAAUUCUUUAACCUCUUCCACACCAAUAAAAAAAUGAUGGUUUAUCAAAUAACCCUUCCUCAAACUCAAUGGUUAUGAAGUUUUCUCCGGAUAAAUGCUCCAAUGAAUAUUUGGAUAACUUAUCCAUGGUAGCUUGAGCAAGAGUCAUACUGUGAGUUCCAACAUCUUGCUAUAAUAUUUAAUGAAAUAUAAGUAUUAAAACUAAAUUAAUAAAUAUAAUAAACAAAUUAAUAUUAAAAUUAUAAACAAAAUCAUACUUCUUGGGUUAUAUGGAGGUGGGUUCACUUCCUUACUUGUAAUGGAAGCUUAUCCUACGUGGACGAUACUAUCAAAUUGACCUACUGGCAUGUUAUGCUGCAUUGCUGCCAAUAUGGACUCUAAAGCAAUGAGUUUUUGCUGUUACUCAUUGAGACGUUGCUCCUGGUCAUCAAUUUAUUGCUGUUGUUGCUUAAUGAUUGCUUCAUAUUGUGUAUUUUUCAUUCGCAGGGUUUUAUGUUGAUUAUCAAAAAACUUUGAUGGCAAGAUAAAUUUACCAACCCUACGAACUUAACUAGGCAUUUUUUUAGCAUUUAAUGCUAAAGACAAAAGAUCUUUGCUAUACUGGGUUGCUAGUUCACCAGAUUUGACUUUGGUAGCAUAAUCAUCCUGAAAGAUAAAAAUAAGAUAGGAUGUAAUAACAAAUCUAUACAAGCUAGUAUACAGUCAUGCAUACAUCCAAAAUACCAAUCAUAUUAAAAAAGUAAUUAUACAUACAAUCUUUUUUAUCAUUUUUUUGAUUACCUCAUCUGUAAAGGAUUUAUCCUUUUGUAAAUAUCUUUAUUUCCAAACAUCCCAUCUGAAAACUUCGGUGCUAAAGCUCACUAAUUCCUAUUAUUAACCACAGUAAAAGAAUCAAAAUGUAUGAAAUGAAUGUUCAUAAAUAUUCAUUAAUGAGUAUAAAAUAAGUGUGUGAAUACAUACAAGCUCAUACUUCACAUUUGCAUAUCCCUUUCUCACUAUCUGAUGGUGAUAUUAUUGUUUAGCCUGAAUGUUUCACUGGUUUUCUUUGAUUUUCUAUAAAAGAAGGAAAUUACGUCAAUCACAUAUGAAGAUCAAAGGCUAUAUUGGAUAAAGACUUAUAAACAAUAUUUUUGGUAAUGGGUUAAUCUACUAAGAAAUCUUUUGAAAGUUAAUAUCGAACAAAAUUUAUCCAAUUUUCAACACUUAUCACAUCUAUAUUGCCACAGGUGGAACAGUCAAUGCAUCACUUUGAUCAGCUAGUGGUAAAAUAUAUUAGGUUGUUAAUCUACUUUUAAAAUCUUUGAAUGCUUUCUUAGUAUAUUGCAACACAAUCUCUUUAUAGUCAUUUGAGACGUCGAACCAUUCCUAAAUUAUUUAACAUAAUUAGUAGGAACACAUUGAAUUUCAAUUAAAUGAUCAUUUAAUAAAUUUUAUGAAAUAGUUGAAUAAACAUAUCACAACCGACUGUUAUAUAUCAUCAUUUAGAUCAUCAAAAACUUAUCACCAAUUGAUGUACGUAAUUGAAAUCCUACGAUGGACGAUAGUUCCAAUAUGAGUAGCCAUCUUGGCAGCUCCUUUAGAUACAGACUACCCACUUUGAUUGAAGUCAACGUGAAUUUUUGUGUUACUCACUUUAAUUUGUUUAUUUGAGCCCCUUCUUUUUCUUUUUUAGCUUAUAGGUGUGUCUUUUACAUGUUCAAUAGAAAGAGAUUUAUGUUGUUCGAAGUUCAUAAUACCUACGAUUUUGAUUAUAAUUAUACAAAUUACAUAAAAUGACUGUUUAAAUUUAACAUUAUAUGUAAUUAAAUACAACAAAUACCAUAUUGCGUACAAAAACAUCAUUCAGUAAACCAAUCAGUAAUGUGCUCAAACACAUCCUUCAGCAAACCACUUAAAAAUAUCAUUCAGUAAACCAUUCAGAAACAUCAUUCAGUAUAUGAUUCAGUAUACCAAUAUGAUACAAUAUCAUUCAGCAAAAUAAUAUCAUACAAUAAGGUUCAGCAAACCACAUUAUUAACAGAAAACUACACAAAAAUAGCAUAUAUGUAAUGAUAGAUGCUUGGAUGACUAUGCUUACAAUGAAAUUAAUAAAAAUAUAUAUCUAUAUGUAAAUAGUAAGAAAUAAAAAAAAAUAGCUCUAUCGAAUAAUAUAAAUAAUACAGUAAAAAAAUUAUAAAGACAUACAGAUAAACAGAAAGGUCUAAUCAUCAUUGAUUUAUUGAAGGUCGGUGACGAUGAUAGGGAUAAAGAAACCAAAAGUUUGAUAAAAAUGUGUUUAUGGGUUUGGUUUGGUUGAUUAAUGCAACUUUUAAUUAUUCUGUGUACUAAUAGUCUGUGAUUUUGAUGUCUAAGACAGGAAAUGAAUAUAAAAUUUAUUAUUAAAGGUAUUUAAAAAAAAAAACCUUCAAUAAUCCCCUUAAAAUUUUACUUGAAGAUUAUUGAAUGCGUUUUUUACUAAAAGACGCCUUUAGUAGUCUAAAAAUUAAUUUUCAAAGAAAAUUAUUAAAGGUGUUUUUCCUCAAAAAAUGCGUUUGAUAAUUCUGAACAAAAAUUAUUAAAGGCGUUUUUAGUAGAAAAUCGCCUUCAAUAAUUAUGUACAAAAGUUUAAAAGAAUUAGUAAAUACAUUUUUCUAGAAUAAAUGUCUUCAUUAAUCGUUUUAAAAUUUGAGUAGUGGAAUAUUGAAGGCAUUUUUCACUGGAAGACACAUUUAAUAAUCCCAAAAAAUUUAAGAGAAAAUUAUUGAAGGCAUUUGUUUUCAAAAAAAUACCUUCAAUAAUUAUGUGUAUAAAUUAAAAAAAAAUAGUGAAUGUAUUUUUCUAGAAUAAACGCCUUUGCUAAAUGUUUUAAAAUUUAAGUUGUGAAAAAUUGAAGGCAAUUUUCACUGAAAGAUGCCUUUGCCUUUAAUAAUCUUAAAAUUUUUAAGAGAAAAUUAUUGAAGGCGUUUGUUCUAAAAAAAUACCUUCAAUAAUUAUGUGCAUAAAUUAGAAGGAAUUAGUGAAAGCGUUUUUCUAAAAUAAAUGCCUUCACUAAACGUCUUAAAAUUUGAGUUGUAAAAAAUUAAAUGCAUUUUUCAUUGGAAGACGCCUUUAAUAAUCCUAAAAAUUUUAAGAGAAAAUUAUUAAAGGCGAUUGUUUUCAAAAAAUGCUUUCAAUAAUUAUGUACAUAAAUUAGAAAGAACUAGUGAAGGCAUUUUUCUAAAAUAAAACACAUUUACUAAAUGUCUUAAAAUUUGGGUUGUGAAAAAUUGAAGGUGUUUUUCACUGAAAGAUGCCUUUAAUAAUCUCAAAAAUUUUAAUAAAAAAUUAUUGCAAGCGAUUGUUUUCAAAAAAAUGCCUUUAAUAAUUAUGUAUGUAAAUUAGAAAGAAUUACCAAAUGCAUUUUUCUAGAAUAAAUGCUUUCACUAAACGUCUUAAAAUUUGAGUUGUGAAAAAUUGAAGGCAUUUUUCACUGGAAGACGCAUUUAAUAAUCCCAAAAAUUUUAAGAGAAAAUUAUUGAAGGCGAUUAUUUUCCAAAAACGUAUUCAAUAAUUAUGUACGUAAAUUAGAAUGAAUUAGUGAAGGUGUUUUUCUAGAAUAAACGCCUUCACUAACAUUCUUAAAAUUUGAGUUGUGAAAUAUUGAAUGUGUUUUUCACUAAAAUAUGCUUUUAAUAAUCUUAAAAAUUUUAAAAGAAAAUUAUUGAACAUGUUUGUUCUCAAAAAACGCUUUCACUAAUUGUCUUAAAGUUUGAGUAGUAGAACAUUGAAUGUGUUUUUCACUAGAGGAUGCCUUCAAUAAAUUUCUUCAAUAAAAAAAAAGAAUUAAUCAAGGUAUUUUUCUGGAAUAAACGCCUUUAAUGACCUCUUAAAAUUUUAGAAAUGUAAUAUUAAAGGUGUUUUGUACAAAAAGACACCUUUAAUAAUCUCACACAAUUUUUUAAAAAAAAAUUAUUGAAGGUAUUUUUAGUAGAGAAUCACUUUCACUAAUAUUUACAAAAAAAGAGAGAAUUAUUGAAGGCGUUUAUGCAAAAAAAAGUCGUCAAUAAAAACAUUAUAAAAAUUAUAUGAAAAUUUUAAAGGCAUUUUUGAAGUGUAAACGCCUUUAAUAAUCUCAAACAAUUCUAUUAUAACUCUGUUAAUGGCACCUAUAAUAUAUUCAAAAAAUAUUUAGAAGGAAAUUAUUGAAGGUCUUUAAUAAUCCGAUCUAAUAAAAUUGUCCCCAAACUUAGUGCAUUCAAUCACCAACUUGAAGCUUCAUCUUCAUUAUUUUACUAUUUCUCUUUUCAGACCAACUGUAAUUUACUUUUCCUUUUCUUCAGCUUUUACUAUUCGAGCAUUGUCAUUUAGAAUCUUAUUUUGACUAUUCAUUAGUUAUUUACUAAUAUUUUUACUUAAUUUGACUAUUCUUUCAGCUUUUGUAAUUGACGAUUUUCUUUUUAAUUUAAACAAUUUUCUUCAAAACCCACAUUCUUCAAGUACCCAUUUGUAAUCCAUCAUCCAUUUCCCUUUCCCUUUCAUUUUCUUUCCUUUCUGGGUUUCUUCUAUACGUGUUUUACCUUAUUUCAACUCCAACUAUAAAAUCUCUUUGGUAUUGUCUACGUUAGUAGCAGAUUUUAAAAUUCAUAAUAUUAGGUACCUGAUAAAAUACUUCAUAACAAGGAGUUUUCAUUUUUUAUAAGUAUUGGUCUUGUUAUUAUCUUUUGUUUAAAACAUAGUAAACUUAAGUAUUUUGGGCAUGCUCAUUUUUAUAUAAAUUAUUUAUAUAAUUUGGUGCUGAUAACUGUAACAAGUACCUAAAUGGAUAGAGUUGGAUACAAAAGUCAAGAUUAAUCAGAUACAGAGAUAGAGUGAAAAAUUUUCUUUAGAUUUUGUAUUUGAGAGAUAUAAGUGAAGAGUAAUAUAAUCUUAUGCCCAUGUGUGAAGUUGUACUAAUAUUAGAUUAACAAAUGCAUCAAGUUAUUUUUAAAUUUUAAUUUGUUUAUAUUUCUCUGGAUAUGUUAAUUAGUAUUUUCAAUGGAGAGUCUGUACGUCAAAUCUACUAGAGUUUUUUUUUAACUUUAAGAGCUCUCUAACACCAACAUGAUCUUUUUAUGACAGAUGAUAUUGAAAGCAUGUUCUGAGAUACUUUUAACAUUCAUAACCAACAUUUUCAUAAUCUUUCUCCCUAAAAUAAUGGAUUUAAUCAGUCCAAUAUUGAAAUGAAUGAAUUUGGUGAACCUGAGAUAAGUGUAGGUGACUAACAACCUAGAAGAGAAGCAUCAAAGUUUUAUAGGUUGCUUAAGGAUAUGAAUGAAGAACUUUAUAAGGGCUCGAAACAUUCAAGGUUAUCUUUCUAUGUUUGUUUUUUUCACUUGAAAUGCUUAUAUGGAUAGACGAAAAACUCUCUGACUUAUUAUUAAAGUUUAUAAAAAAAAUAUUUUCUUUUACAAAAAUCUUUAAAUCUUGUAAAAAAUCAAAGAAGAUGAUCAAGGAUUUAGGUUCGGAUAUGAGAAAUUUCAUAGUUAUCCCAAUGAUUACAUGUUGUAUUGGGGUGAUAUAAAAAAUAAAAAAUUUUAUCAUGUGUGUGGUAUUUCUCGUUGGGUGGACAAAAAUCUCAAUGAAAGGUUGAAGGAGGAUGGUGAUGAGGUCNNNNNNNNNNNNNNNNNNNNNNNNNNNNNNNNNNNNNNNNNNNNNNNNNNNNNNNNNNNNNNNNNNNNNNNNNNNNNNNNNNNNNNNNNNNNNNNNNNNNNNNNNNNNNNNNNNNNNNNNNNNNNNNNNNNNNNNNNNNNNNNNNNNNNNNNNNNNNNNNNNNNNNNNNNNNNNNNNNNNNNNNNNNNNNNNNNNNNNNNNNNNNNNNNNNNNNNNNNNNNNNNNNNNNNNNNNNNNNNNNNNNNNNNNNNNNNNNNNNNNNNNNNNNNNNNNNNNNNNNNNNNNNNNNNNNNNNNNNNNNNNNNNNNNNNNNNNNNNNNNNNNNNNNNNNNNNNNNNNNNNNNNNNNNNNNNNNNNNNNNNNNNNNNNNNNNNNNNNNNNNNNNNNNNNNNNNNNNNNNNNNNNNNNNNNNNNNNNNNNNNNNNNNNNNNNNNNNNNNNNNNNNNNNNNNNNNNNNNNNNNNNNNNNNNNNNNNNNNNNNNNNNNNNNNNNNNNNNNNNNNNNNNNNNNNNNNNNNNNNNNNNNNNNNNNNNNNNNNNNNNNNNNNNNNNNNNNNNNNNNNNNNNNNNNNNNNNNNNNNNNNNNNNNNNNNNNNNNNNNNNNNNNNNNNNNNNNNNNNNNNNNNNNNNNNNNNNNNNNNNNNNNNNNNNNNNNNNNNNNNNNNNNNNNNNNNNNNNNNNNNNNNNNNNNNNNNNNNNNNNNNNNNNNNNNNNNNNNNNNNNNNNNNNNNNNNNNNNNNNNNNNNNNNNNNNNNNNNNNNNNNNNNNNNNNNNNNNNNNNNNNNNNNNNNNNNNNNNNNNNNNNNNNNNNNNNNNNNNNNNNNNNNNNNNNNNNNNNNNNNNNNNNNNNNNNNNNNNNNNNNNNNNNNNNNNNNNNNNNNNNNNNNNNNNNNNNNNNNNNNNNNNNNNNNNNNNNNNNNNNNNNNNNNNNNNNNNNNNNNNNNNNNNNNNNNNNNNNNNNNNNNNNNNNNNNNNNNNNNNNNNNNNNNNNNNNNNNNNNNAGGUUGGGUUCUCAAGGGCUGGAAGUGUCAGCUCAAGGCCUUGGAUGCAUGGGGAUGUCAGCUGCCUAUGGUCCUCCAAAGCCUGAACCUGACAUGAUUGCUCUAAUCCAUCAUGCUAUCAACUCUGGGGUUACCUUUCUUGAUACCUCUGACGUUUAUGGUCCCCAUACCAAUGAAAUCCUCCUUGGUAAGGCCUUGAGAGAUGGUGUCAGAGACAGGGUUGAAUUGGCUACAAAGUUUGGUAUAAACCUUACUGAUGGCAAGAUGGAAAUCUGUGGUGACCCUGGUUAUGUCAGGGCUGCCUGUGAAGGUAGCUUGAAGCGUCUUGGUGUUGAUUGUAUUGAUCUUUAUUACCAGCAUCGGAUUGAUACCAGGGUUCCCAUUGAAGUCACGGUUUGUUUUUAGUUUUAACUUUUGUCCCCUUUUUUCUUCUUAUCCUUUUAUUGAUUGUUGCUUGUUUUUUUUUUUUUACCCAGAUGGGAGAACUUAAGAAACUAGUUGAAGAAGGUAAAGUGAAGUACAUAGGUUUAUCUGAGGCUUCUGCUUCGACAAUUAGGAGGGCACAUGCUGUUCAUCCAAUAACUGCUGUACAAUUGGAGUGGUCCUUGUGGUCAAGAGAUGUUGAGGCAGAAAUCAUUCCUACUUGCAGGUUAUUUGUUCAUAAGACCAACAAAAUUUUUUGUUUUAAUUUUUGACUUGGAAUUCUUAUUUGAUGUGAUUCCUUUUAAUUUCUUAGGGAACUUGGGAUUGGAAUUGUUGCUUACAGCCCUCUGGGGAGAGGAUUCCUUUCAUCAGGGCCAAAAAUAGUGGAAACUUUGUCCAAUGAUGACUACAGAAAGGUACGUAGCUACUUUUCACAAUUGGAUAUUUGAUCAUAAGAAAUGAUUAUCUGUACUUUUAGGCAUAUUAAAUUUUAUGGUAUUAGCCAACAGCUGUGUGGCUUAUCGUUAGAGUGCUAGACUCUUAGUUCCAGUAGCUAUGUGCCGAUCUCAAUUUUUCAAAAAAAAAAAAAAAUUACGGUAUUCUAGAUUUUCAAUUCUAUCCUAUGAAAGCUUAGGAGGUUGUUGACAAGACAAGAGUUUUUACAUCUGAGAGCCUAAUAAUUUUUAUGCUUAAGUUGUUCUGCAACAUUUUCGUCUUUUUUGACAUACUCUGUAAGGAAAACCACCCAAUUUUAGUCUCUAAGUGCCUCAAUCUAGCAAUCUUUUUCUUUCCAAUUUAGUGGGACUCUCAUGUGAAUUGGGUUGAAUUAGAUGUCAGUAUGUUCAUAACCUUUUUCCCUUUUCUGUCACAUCCACUACCAUUAUAUAGUGAAAUCAUACGCAUCAGGCAACUUUCAAGUGAAAUAAUAUGUAGGCAUGUUAAGCUUCAAAUUCCCUUUAAUAACAGAGGGCUUACUGUACCUCUAUGUCCCCAAUAUGGCCCCUUCCCUUGAGUUUUGCAAGAAUGCGAGUGUCUCUUGAUUAAUAUCCAUUAAUUCUUACGUGGCAGCAGUUUACAAUCAUCUAAUGCAUCUUUUAAUGAAAAACUUCAGGGAAGUUUGUAGAGGUGAUUUGUUUACUUCAGUUGAGAUCUGAGUCACAGAUGAAGUUUCUGUUACUUGUAUUUGAGAAUUCUGUAUCAAAUCCACCAAGUGAUGUAUAAAUUAGGUGAUGAGCAUUAAUCCUAAUUUUUUUUGUUGCAAAGGAGGCCACAACCUGGGGAUAGGGAAAGAGGUUGUAGAUGCUGGGAUUUGAAUCCCAAUUCUGUUGAUGGCACCUUUUUAAGGGCGGUUGCAUGAAGCCACUUAGCUAAGUUCCAAGUUCCAUUAGUCCUAAUUUUAACAAUUGAAGUUAAUGACUGAGCUCUGCAGUAUAUGAAUAUACCUUUAAGGAACUGCAUGGCUAAUUGUUUGUUUCAAAAUUACUACCCCAUUGAAAUUUUUUUGAAAUAGGCGUUUAGCCUUCUGUUCAAAUCAAAUUUGAGGAUAAAAGAUCUUUUCUGUAUUUGGGCAAUUAAAUGAGGUCCGUUUUGACAACUACUGAUGGCUUGAAUUGUCAAACACUUAUUGAAAUGUCUUGAAUCCUAUAUCUGUAUUAUUUGCAGAAAGCAAUGGUCUGCUGCAGAUUAUCUUUAUUUUUUCAUGACAAUCAUGUGAAUGGGUUUUCAAUUGUCACAGCAUCUACCAAGGUUCCAACCAGAAAAUCUCGAGCACAACAAACGCCUCUAUGAGCGAGUUAAAGAGAUAGCAGCAAAGAAGGGGUGUAACCCAUCACAGCUUGCAUUGGCAUGGGUCCAUCACCAAGGGAAUGAUGUCUGUCCCAUUCCUGGAACCACCAAAAUUGAAAACUUCAACCAGAACAUCCGAGCUUUGUCCGUAAAAUUAGCACCUGAAGAGAUGACUGAGCUAGAAUCCAUUGCUUCAACAGGUGCCGUGAAGGGAGACAGAUACGGUGGAACUUUUGCUACCUACCAUGAAUCUGAAACUCCUCCCUUGUCUUCAUGGAAACCUGAAUGAUGAGGGCAAGCCAC